AGGAGUAUAGCUCAGUGGUAGAGCACUUGCCUAGCAUGCAUGAGGCCCUGGGUUUGAGGCCCAGCACUACCC
rnacentral:tRNA from 1 species